GUCAAAUCAAGUCUUAGUGCUGGGCAAGAUACUCCGCAGAUAUAGCUAGCUAAUCUAACAGGAAGCAACUAAAAUAAAAAUAAAAAAGCAGGCUUUAAAAUGGUUUGAAUAAUAAUAAAAAACAUUUGAAUAAAAUCUAAUUAAACAAUUAUCGUCUGUAUAUACUGUAGUGCACUGUGUCUACAGUAAACCGCCUGAAGUGGGCGCAAUUUGGAGUUAUAUACAAAUAUGCCCAGUAGGUGUCGCCCUUUAUCCGUUUUAUUUAUACACCUAACCUACAAUCACACACGCGAAGAAAUGGACACUGAGGAAACGGCUUUAAAUGAUACAAUUUCAAAGAUAACAAAAUAUUAGAUCAAGUCAGACCUUUUAAAAAAUAUACUUUGUCUUAGAACUAACUUCACUUCUCUGAGAAAUGUUUGCGAAUCUCCUUUAAGGAGAAUGAAAGUUACUUCAAGUGCCCGAACACGGUUGAACUGCACCACAACCAACUGAUGGUAAGUUAACUAAACUCUGUUCAUUCAUAUUGAGAAAAACUGUAAGAAAUUACACAGCUUUAAAAUCUAGUGUGAUGCACUAAAAAGUUAACUAAAUAAAGACAGGCUGCAAACAAGACCCAUUGCUUUAUAAUACUCUUUAUUUAGGUAAUCCACACAGUACAGUGUAAUCUACACAGUACAAUUUCUCCAUUCACUGUAAAAUAAGAAACAUUUUUAAAAUAUUCAUCUUGAAAAUCUUACACCUAUCUCAUUCACUGUAAACAAAUUAUUGUAUGAAUCAGAGCAACUUGUUCAUUUAAAGAGUAGACUACUGAGUCACACCUGUCACCUCAGAAUAUUCCCGCUUUGUUCCAAGUAUGCAGACGCCUUGAAUUAUUGAUUAUGGGAUCAGGAAAUAAACAGUGAUAUGCUAUGUUUAUGUAUUUUUGUCCAGGAAAACAUUGCAUUUCACUUAGUAUAUAAUUAAUAAAGC